GGCUUAAUACAUGCAAGUCGUGGGGCAGCACAGUGUAGCAAUACAUGGGUGGCGACCGGCAAACGGGUGCGUAACACGUACGCAACUUACCCAUUACAGGGGAAUAGCCCAGGGAAACUUGGAUUAAUACCCCAUGUUAUAUGAGAUUGGCAUCAGUCUCAUAUCAAAGCUUCGGCGGUAAUGGAUGGGCGUGCGGUUGAUUAGAUAGUUGGCGGGGUAACGGCUCACCAAGUCUACGAUCAAUAGCUGAUGUGAGAGCAUGAUCAGCCACACGGGCACUGAGACACGGGCCCGACUCCUACGGGAGGCAGCAGUAAGGAAUAUUGGGCAAUGGACGAAAGUCUGACCCAGCCAUGCCGCGUGAAGGAUGAAGGUCCUCUGGAUUGUAAACUUCUUUUAUCUGGGGCGAAAACCAUCCUUUCUAGGAUGCUUGACAGUACCAGAGGAAUAAGCACCGGCUAACUCCGUGCCAGCAGCCGCGGUAAUACGGAGGGUGCAAGCGUUAUCCGGAUUUACUGGGUUUAAAGGGUGCGUAGGCGGGCAGGUAAGUCAGUGGUGAAAUCCCCGAGCUUAACUCGGGAACUGCCGUUGAUACUAUCUGUCUUGAAUAUCGUGGAGGUAAGCGGAAUAUGUCAUGUAGCGGUGAAAUGCUUAGAUAUGACAUAGAACACCAAUUGCGAAGGCAGCUUGCUACACUAUUAUUGACGCUGAGGCACGAAAGCGUGGGGAUCAAACAGGAUUAGAUACCCUGGUAGUCCACGCCCUAAACGAUGAUUACUCGACAUCAGCGAUACACUGUUGGUGUCUAAGCUAAAGCAUUAAGUAAUCCACCUGGGAAGUACGAUCGCAAGAUUGAAACUCAAAGGAAUUGGCGGGGGUCCGCACAAGCGGUGGAGCAUG
rnacentral:rRNA from 1 species